GUAGUUGAAGGAUAUGCCAAUACCGAACGUAAUCACUUUACUAAGUGGCAAGCUACGUAAUCUAUGGCACUAUGUUUCGAGGUAUGCCCGUAUACAAGAUUCUGAUGCAAACAAUAUAUAAGUUAGUUUUGCUGUUCAUAAAUUCGACUUAUUGCAAAUCUCGGUAUUCAAGUGUAACAUGUAAUGAGAGCAAAACUGUGAAGGUAAUUUGCUUUCAAGAAAAUGUAAAUGCUAAAAUGAUUACUACGCAGUAUCUAGUUUUCCGGGUGACCAGGUUCACGAACGAAGACCUUCCAACCUCAGGGACGUAAAAUGAUUGCGUCUAGGAGCUUCGUCGAGCUAGGGUUUAAUAUCGUGAUGCAAUGAAUACAAGAUAAUUGAUCGUUAAGGAGCAUAAAUGUGACUUCAACCUGUAUAUAUUAGGCUAAUUAAUAUCAGACAAUAUAAUAUCGAACUCGGUCGAAAAUUAAUUCAAGGUUACAAACGAAAUUUGAGCCUCAAGAUGAGAGGUUAGCAAAAUACGAGCUUUCAUUGGCUGAGAACGAUUUACAUUCACGCACUGCACGGUUUAAGCCCGAGAUUAAGUGUGGCAACAGGGCCAAGUUCGACUAAAUGAAUU